rnacentral:lncRNA from 1 species
AGACAUCUCUGGGAAAGCAUUCUGAUGAAGAUGUGUGCCACCCUGGUUAUAUGACAGAUGUUAAGCCCACACAGGACAACAGUCUGCUCCUGGGCUCAGUGUGUUUGCCCCUGAAUCUGGCUCUCAGUAGACCUGACAGGGAGAAGCAUGAGUACCACUGAUCAGCAUUUGGUGUCUUUGGGUUCAACUCGAAGAGCUUUCCAUAGGAGAAUGGCCCUGAAGUCACUGUGUAGCCCCUGCUGGCCUCAAACUCAUCAUCCUCCCACCGCAGACUCCCUGAGACUGGAAUUAUAGACAUUUACCAACACAUCCAGCUCUAACUGCCCUUCUUAAGUGAUAGGGCAUCCCUAUGGGACCAAGGAUGAUUUUGCCUUAUGGGACCAUGUGUACAGCAUAGCCUGGCAAGGCCAGUCAGCUCCACUGUCAUGGACACAGGCAUAGGUGUGGAUUGCAGACACUCCCCUGGUCCCAUUAGCUGUAUCUCCCAUCUGGAAGGAGACAAUUAACAGAGAAUGCAAAAGCAUUCACUCUCACAUUGCUGUCUUGCAAUGGUGACCUCAGCUGCAGAUCCCCUACAGUGACUCUGAAUUCUCCAGGGAAUCUCAUAGGAGGGGGCACACUCUGCACCUGAUUUCGGGGACCCUGGCUGUCCCGUCCUGCUCUGUGAAGGGGGAAGCUCAACACCUAUGCUGCACACCCUGAAGCAAUGGGAUGAUGUCUGGUUCUGGGAGGCAAUGGAGGGAGGAGGAGGAUGACCCACUGGGGCUUCUGGGUUUAUGUAAUAAUUUCCCCAGUCUAUCAGGAAGUGGGCUGUGCAUCAGGGCCAUAAGGAGAACCCAUGUGCCUCUGAGUCCAUCACCUGAUUCAGAUGAGAGUUCCUUUUAUGGUCAAGAAAGCAUCCAGGCUAGUCUUUUAACAUUUAGAAUCACGGCUUGCAGACAUGUCUGAUAAUACACAAUCCUAGUAGCCAUAUUAGGCCAGCACAGGCUUACAUGCACGGUACCUAUCAGGAGGCAGGUGUCUGACUAACCUCUUUACACAUUUGACUCACCUGGGCCUCAGAAACAUACCGGGCAGGUGCUGUUAUCCAUCUUAUGUUAUGCGUACUCGGUGAACAGGAAGGUCAGGUACCUAUCCCAGACGCACAGCUGAUCAUUGUUCAAGCCUGGACUCAGCACAAGACUCCCCACUCUUGGCCUAGAUGUUCCUCUGCUUGAGAUGGGGAUACACAGGUGGCCUGUGGAGACACGGUAGUGUGGAACUGGGUGAAACAAUAAGGAUUAGAGAGCCGUGUGUCCUGAGUGUUGUCAUAGGCAGACAGGCCUGAUGGAGAAGGCUGUGGGAGGUGUGGAUGCAUACAUGAAGAUGCAGACCUGAGUGUGACAGUCCCAUACAUCAUACAUAUAUCAGCGGUUCUCAACCUGUGGAUCAUGACCCCUUUGGGGUUGAAUGACCCUUUCAUGAGGGUUGCCUAAGGCCACCGGAAAAUAUAUAUGUUUACAUUAUAACCCAUAAAAGUAGCAAAAUUACCGUUAUGAAGUAGCAACAAAAAUAAUUUUAUGGUUGUGGGUCUCCACAAUAUGAACUGUAUUAAAGGGUCGCAGCUGUAGGAAGGUUGGGAACUACCAGCAUUCCUACAAAGACCUAGUAAAAGCAUAAGCCUGCCUGGAUCAAAAACACUAGCCUCAGGGACCAGAUCACCCUGCAAGGGGACAGAACCAAGUAGGGCUUAGCUGGCAAUGGUGACAAGGUUUUAUUUAUUAAAAACAGAACAGAGCCAGAGAGAUGGCUCAGUUGGUCAAAUGCUUGCUGCACAAACAUGAGGUUCUUAUCUUGGGUAUCCACAUU